CAGGGGGAGGAGGCACCCCCAGCGAGGCGGGGUCUCAGAGCCAGCCCCUCUUCCCCCACUGGCCCUUAGGACCCCCAUCGCAGUGAGGGGAGGCACCCCCAGCGAGGCGGGGUCUCAGAGCCAGCCCCUCUUCCCCCACUGGCCUUUAGGACCCCCGUCGCAGGGGGAGGAGGCACCCCCCACGAGGCGGGGACUGAGAGCCAGCCCCUCUAAGCCUUCUGGCUCUUAGGACCCCCAUCACGGGGGGGGAGGCACCCCCGCGAGGGGGGUACAGAGAGCCAGCCCCUCUUCUGCUCCUGGCUCUUAGGACCCCCAUCACGGGGGGGGAGGCACCCCCCGCGAGGCGGGUACAGAGAGCCAGCCCCUCUUCCCCCACUGGCCCUUAGGAACCCCAUCGCAGGGGGGGGGAGGCACCCCCCGCGAGGCGGGGUCUCAGAGCCAGCCCCUCUUCCCCCACUGGCCCUUAGGACUCCCAUCGUAGGGGAGCGAGGCACCCCCCGUGAGGCGGGUUCUCAGAGCCAGCCCCUCUUCCCCCACUGGCCCUUAGGACUCCCAUCGGAGGGGGGGGGAGGCACCCCCAGCGAGGCGGGGUCUCAGAGCCAGCCCCUCUUCCCCCACUGUCUCUUAGGACCCCCAUCGCAGUGGGGGGAGGCUCCCCCAGCGAGGCGGGGUCUCAGAGCCAGCCCCUCUUCCCCCGCUGGCUCUGAGGAUCCUCCGUGGACUCACAGCCUCUUUACCAUAUUGUGAGUAAUAUCAUCUCCCCCUCUGGAGAUUACGAACUCUUUCACAGACGGGUGUACACCCUCGGUG
rnacentral:lncRNA from 1 species